UGGGGGCUGGAAAAGGACGCCCGGCUGCGGCUCUGGCCCGCAGGGUCGCCCUGGAUCGAGCCGGGGACCUUUGU
rnacentral:tRNA from 1 species